rnacentral:sRNA from 1 species
AUGUACCACUCGUACACGCGGUUGCUCCGCAACGUCCGCACCACACCUGACGACUACUCGCUCCGUUUUGCUAGCC